GCCUGGGUGGCUCAGUUGGUUGAGCAUCUGACUUCGGCUCAGGUCAUGAUCUCACGGUUUGUGGGUUCGAGCCCCACAUCGGGCU
rnacentral:tRNA from 1 species